rnacentral:rRNA from 1 species
CCUACGGGAGGCUGCAGUGAGGAAUAUUGGUCAAUGGGCGGAAGCCUGAACCAGCCAUCCCGCGUGCAGGAAGACGGCCCUAUGGGUUGUAAACUGCUUUUCCAGUGGGCGAAACACUCGUACGUGUACGAGAUUGACGGUACACUGGGAAUAAGCAUCGGCUAACUCCGUGCCAGCAGCCGCGGUAAUACGGAGGAUGCAAGCGUUAUCCGGAUUUAUUGGGUUUAAAGGGUGCGUAGGCGGAUGAAUAAGUCAGUGGUGAAAGGCUGCAGCUUAACUGUAGACUUGCCGUUGAUACUGUUUAUCUUGAGUAUGGUCAAGGCAGGCGGAAUGUGUAAUGUAGCGGUGAAAUGCUUAGAUAUUACACAGAACACCGAUUGCGAAGGCAGCUUGCUGGGCCAUUACUGACGCUGAUGCACGAAAGCGUGGGGAGCGAACAGGAUUAGAUACCCCGGUAGUC